GCCAUUGGGUUCUAGGGCUGCAGUAG
rnacentral:piRNA from 1 species